rnacentral:rRNA from 1 species
UGGGGAAUAUUGCACAAUGGGCGCAAGCCUGAUGCAGCGACGCCGCGUGGGGGAUGACGGCCUUCGGGUUGUAAACCUCUUUCAGCAUCGACGAAGCGCCAGUGACGGUAGAUGCAGAAGAAGCCCCGGCCAACUACGUGCCAGCAGCCGCGGUAAUACGUAGGGUGCGAGCGUUGUCCGGAAUUACUGGGCGUAAAGAGCUCGUAGGUGGUUUGUCGCGUUGUUCGUGAAAACUCACAGCUUAACUGUGGGCGUGCGGGCGAUACGGGCAGACUGGAGUACUGCAGGGGAGACUGGAAUUCCUGGUGUAGCGGUGGAAUGCGCAGAUAUCAGGAGGAACACCGGUGGCGAAGGCGGGUCUCUGGGCAGUAACUGACGCUGAGGAGCGAAAGCGUGGGGAGCGAAC